rnacentral:rRNA from 1 species
AACCCUUAAGCUUAGUUGCCAUCAUUAAGUUGGGCACUCUAAGUUGACUGCCGGUGACAAACCGGAGGAAGGUGGGGAUGACGUCAAAUCAUCAUGCCCCUUAUGAUUUGGGCUACACACGUGCUACAAUGGACAAUACAAAGGGCAGCGAAACCGCGAGGUCAAGCAAAUCCCAUAAAGUUGUUCUCAGUUCGGAUUGUAGUCUGCAACUCGACUACAUGAAGCUGGAAUCGCUAGUAAUCGUAGAUCAGCAUGCUACGGUGAAUACGUUCCCGGGUCUUGUACACACCGCCCGUCACACCACGAGAGUUUGUAACACCCGAAGCCGGUGGAGUAACCUUUUAGGAGCUAGCCGUCGAAGGUGGGACAAAUGAUUGGGGUGAAGUCGUAACAAGGUAGCCGUAUCGGAAGGUGCGGCUGGAUCACCUCCUUUCUAAGGA